rnacentral:rRNA from 1 species
GACGAACGCUGGCGGCGUGCUUAACACAUGCAAGUCGAACGGAAAGGCCCUGCUUUUGUGGGGUGCUCGAGUGGAGAACGGGUGAGUAACACGUGAGUAACCUGCCCUUGACUUUGGGAUAACUUCAGGAAACUGGGGCUAAUACCGGAUAGGAGCUCCUGCUGCAUGGUGGGGGUUGGAAAGUUUCGGCGGUUGGGGAUGGACUCGCGGCUUAUCAGCUUGUUGGUGGGGUAGUGGCUUACCAAGGCUUUGACGGGUAGCCGGCCUGAGAGGGUGACCGGCCACAUUGGGACUGAGAUACGGCCCAGACUCCUACGGGAGGCAGCAGUGGGGAAUAUUGCACAAUGGGCGGAAGCCUGAUGCAGCAACGCCGCGUGCGGGAUGACGGCCUUCGGGUUGUAAACCGCUUUCGCCUGUGACGAAGCGUGAGUGACGGUAAUGGGUAAAGAAGCACCGGCUAACUACGUGCCAGCAGCCGCGGUGAUACGUAGGGUGCGAGCGUUGUCCGGAUUUAUUGGGCGUAAAGGGCUCGUAGGUGGUUGAUCGCGUCGGAAGUGUAAUCUUGGGGCUUAACCCUGAGCGUGCUUUCGAUACGGGUUGACUUGAGGAAGGUAGGGGAGAAUGGAAUUCCUGGUGGAGCGGUGGAAUGCGCAGAUAUCAGGAGGAACACCAGUGGCGAAGGCGGUUCUCUGGGCCUUUCCUGACGCUGAGGAGCGAAAGCGUGGGGAGCGAACAGGCUUAGGUACCCUGGUAGUCCACGCUGUAAACGGUGGGUACUAGGUGUGGGGUCCAUUCCACGGGUUCCGUGCCGUAGCUAACGCUUUAAGUACCCCGCCUGGGGAGUACGGCCGCAAGGCUAAAACUCAAAGGAAUUGACGGGGCCCCGCACAAGCGGCGGAGCAUGCGGAUUAAUUCGAUGCAACGCGUAGAACCUUACCUGGGUUUGACAUGGAUCGGGAGCGCUCAGAGAUGGGUGUGCCUCUUUUGGGGUCGGUUCACAGGUGGUGCAUGGCUGUCGUCAGCUCGUGUCGUGAGAUGUUGGGUUAAGUCCCGCAACGAGCGCAACCCUUGUUCACUGUUGCCAGCACGUUAUGGUGGGGACUCAGUGGAGACCGCCGGGGUCAACUCGGAGGAAGGUGGGGAUGACGUCAAGUCAUCAUGCCCCUUAUGUCCAGGGCUUCACGCAUGCUACAAUGGCUGGUACAGAGAGUGGCGAGCCUGUGAGGGUGAGCGAAUCUCGGAAAGCCGGUCUCAGUUCGGAUUGGGGUCUGCAACUCGACCUCAUGAAGUCGGAGUCGCUAGUAAUCGCAGAUCAGCAACGCUGCGGUGAAUACGUUCCCGGG